AGCAAUCAGCGAGAUUCCGUGGGCGUAGGACCCUCCGAGCCAGUUCCCGAGAGAUCCCAUGAUCCAGAGACAAAGGUGGCAGCUUUGGAGCAAGUGGAGAGCCAGAAAAGGAUCCAGAACUGGAGUGGAAGCUGAAGCUAUGCCAUCUUUUAUGUCUGAUGAGGCAGUUUCAUCUGAUUUGAAGAUGAUGAAGAAAAGUUCUUUGCAAGGUUGCUUAUUGAAUAUUACUGGGAAAACAGGAAAAUUAGGAGGAAUGUUCUGGAGUGAUUUAUCUUUUUCAUCAGGGGCCCGCGUUCAGUCCAGCCACCAGAUCAACACAUUCUCCAAACUCAUUAACUUUGGAGAGGCUACCCAGAGUUCCUGAAGAGUUCAUCUGAAAGUCACACAGCAAGAACACAGCAGAACAAAGAUUAGAUCCCAGCUUGGUCUUCUUCAAUGGUCAUGCUUUUCCAGAUACCUUAAAGAAAACCAAAUGGACAGUGAUUCUACACUGACAGAUAAGCAUGCUUAUAAUUGCUUGUUUGAUAUCUGUUUUUUCCCUGGUAGUUUGUAAGAUGUGAAAGAAAAAAUAUGUGUUGCCUUUUCUGACAGCCACUCCCCCAACCCCAGCACCUAGUAUAUAUUAUUUUCUAUUAGCUGUUAAAUAAAUACUUACCAUAUGAACAAGUGAACCUGAAUAAAGCAGUACUCAUUGGUCCUGGAGUGGAUGAAAUAGACUAGGGACUGGCCAGCUAGAAGGAUCAGGGACUCCCAAAUAUGUAGCAUUUUUAGUUGGUACUGAAUGUGUGAAUGAGAUGGGUAGCUAUGGCAUCCAGGCUAGGUGAAGUCAGUUAUAGGCAUGGAUGUGGAGGACUCUGUGGGAGGGAAAGAGUGAGUGGUUCAGGGCACUGGAGGUCAUGCAGAGAUUUGAUGCUAUGAAAAGCAAGUUGCACCUGUGAGAGUGUCAUUAGGUUAAUAACACCCUCCUCUUCUGUCUGCCUCCCUCACAAUCAUGAGGCUUGGAAAAGUGAGGGAUGGAAGUUAUUAUCUAGGAGCUUGUUCACUGCUGCCAAAAAUAGUUAGCUUUAUUAUGAGCUCUUGUACUGGCUUCAGACAGAGCCUUUGGGCAUCAUGGGAGUUACUGCUGCUUCCCUUGGGAACUACUGUCACUGCCAUGGGCAUCUGCAUCUGAGAAGCAUUCCUUCUCUGUGACAAUUAUCAUAGUAACUUUUGCCCAGCAAGUUGGCUUUUCUGGAUGUGUUAAUGAUGGUAAUAAUGAUAAUUGCUAAGAUUAUGAAUGUCUUGCAUGAAUUAUUUCAUUUAAUCCUCACAAUAACCGAAUGAGGCAGAAACAAUUUUGUGUCUUUUUUACAAAUGGGGAACUGAGAUUUGGGGAAGUUAAAUCAUUUGCCAAAGUCAUUUGUUCAAUGAUGAGUAGUCUCAAAAUUUUAACCCAAAUCUAAUCAACAUAUUGUAAGAUUGUUACAGUAAGAAUGUUAUUAGAACAUCCUGAGAAAGAGCUGAUAUACAUAUUAAAGAGUCCUUCAUUUUCGUGAUGCCUACUCCUUGCUUGGGUGCAAGGUUAUUUCUGCUUGUUGAUUCUGUCCCUUUGAAAAUCAGAUUUUAACCUCUAGCCUGCUAGUUCCUUUGUGGGGAAAAAUGAUUAUUGCUGUUUUCCAAAAUACCAAAAAAUGUCAGCCCAACCGCCUGAGUUUAAUCAGAUGUUUAAUCUGAUAUAGCAUCUGCAUAAUGACACCACAAAGAAUAAACAAGAAGAUCGGGACUGUGUCAUAAAUAUUGAUUCUUCUAUAGUCAGGGCCUGCUGACUUUCAUAUAAAACUUUUUAUUUAAUUAAAUCUAUUGCAAACAAUGCAGCAAAACCUUAUUCUAGUUUUAUCUUUCAGAAUGUUGAAAUAGUCACAGCCCAUGGAAUCAAUGUUUUGGGUAAGAUUUUUUUUAAUGGAAUUCUGUCUCUAUUGCUUUAAUUUCUUUAAUCUUUCACUGCAUGAAAAAUACUCUAAUAUCUUAAAAUUUCAUGUAUUUCCAGCCUAAAAAUAACAUCUAUUAUAGAUUUUCCUCAUUUUAUUGUGUAAAUGUAGAUAAGCAUAAAGAAGAAAAUAAAAAUUGUCCAGAAAGAACCACAAUU
ensembl:lncRNA MIR2052HG MIR2052 host gene